UACAGAGGGUGCAAGCGUUGUUCGGAAUUACUGGGCGUAAAGCGUGCGCAGGCGGUUCGCUGUGUCCGAUGUGAAAGCCCCGGGCUUAACCUGGGAAUGGCAUUGGAAACUGGCGGGCUUGAGUGCGGCAGAGGGGGGUGGAAUUCCGCGUGUAGCAGUGAAAUGCGUAGAGAUGCGGAGGAACACCGAUGGCGAAGGCAGCCCCCUGGGUCGACACUGACGCUCAGGCACGAAAGCGUGGGGAGCAAACAGG
rnacentral:rRNA from 1 species